rnacentral:lncRNA from 9 species
AUGGAGUGGUCCAGCUGGAGCCUCGCUCCCAGCAUCCUACGCGCGUCAUCACGUCAUAGAUGCGCACGUAGACCAAGCGCGGCCACGGCUGCUGCGCACGGCUGUGCAUGGCCUCCCAGCACAUGCGUCCUGUUGUGCGGCGCUGCGACGCGGCACUCACAGUGUCCAGCAGGUAGUGGGCGAACCGUGGUCUGUGGCAGGCCACCUGGUGCAUGUUUUUCCUGCAUCCACUGUCGUCGUUGCCAUUCCCAUCACGCACAGCUUGUCAGGAGGGUAGCCCUGCCAGGCCGGGCUCACCGUGAAGAGAUUUGCUUUUGUUGUAAACCUUAUGGACUAUAUAAAGCUACUGUGAAGGUUGAGACCUUCCGUCAUGAGCAAUGCCCACUGAACUACAGAUUGCAGAUUCUCAUCAGAGAACAAGGCCACCCAUGA